UACGUAGGGGCCGAGCGUUGUCCGGAGUUAUUGGGCGUAAAGCGCGCGCAGGCGGCCUCGCGCGCCCGACGUGAAAGCCCCCGGCUUAACCGGGGAGGGUCGUUGGGGACGGCGGGGCUUGAGGGCGGGAGAGGUCGGUGGAAUUCCCGGUGUAGUGGUGAAAUGCGUAGAGAUCGGGAGGAACACCGGUGGCGAAGGCGGCCGACUGGGCCGACCCUGACGCUGAGGCGCGAAAGCUAGGGGAGCGAACGGG
rnacentral:rRNA from 1 species